GCCCAACCAGACAGAGACAGGAUAGCAGAGGAAUCAGAUGCUCACUCAGCGCUUGGCGAGCUCCUGGCUCCUGUAGGGUGGUGAUGGUGCAGUGGAUAAAAUGUGAGAGACCCAGGUUCAAUUCCCCACUUGACCCCUCCUUCCUCCAGAGUGACAUGUGGCCUGGUUUUGUGAGCAGUGACCUCCAGAGCCCAGUGGAUCAGAGAGCACUUGUUGGAGGAGACAGAGGUUUUCCCUCAGUCCUGUUACCCUAAUACAUAAUAAUUCCACAAGCCCCAUGUUUAAGAGAAGGUUGCAUCAUCUGCAUCUUCUGAAAGUCAUGGGAAGUCCAAAAAGCCACCACUUUCCUACUGUCUCUGGUUCAGUGAGAAACGUGAGCUCUACCUUGUCCUGCCAGCCAGUAUUGGAGACCGAUGAGAUAUUCUGGUGUUAAACUGCCCGUGGGAAGAAUGCACAUGUAAUGAUACAUUCUUGAUUAAAAACCAACA